rnacentral:misc_RNA from 1 species
CAACCCUCGGGCCCCCUUCCCCUCGCCGGGAGGGCGGGCCCGGCGUUGGGGCCCAGGCGUCCUCUCCCCCCGGGAGCGGGCGCCUGUCCCCGAAACCCAGUGGCGGCCUCGCCGCUGCCUCCUCCGCGUAGUAGCACAAACCUCGCGGGCGGAAGGCGGCGCGGCCACGCCGUAAAACCCCAAACUUUUACCAA